CCCCUAAUAAAACCCCGCUGUUUUCGAACGUCAAGGUAGAAAGCGACGAAGAAGAAGCAACAACGGGGCGGGGAAUCGCCACGCAGCACACGCAACCGCCGACAAAGCAAAAUGAAGAAACAUUCAGAGGACUUCAAACUAUUCUGUUGUUCAGUGGCCGACAUUAUCUGAUCCAGCUCCUCCAGAACCUCGAUGGCUCUUCAGUGUUCGGUCCUCUCCUGACUCUGAGAAGCAAAUGUGUCAGGAGUCAUCAGUGUGUUCUGGUUCAGAGCCGGAUCAGAUAAAUCUCAUCCCAACAUCAUCUACACUGAUGGGAGAAGACCCAAGGAAUGUGAAAAGAUAUCGGACACUCCGAAGAGUUGUGUUUAUCGCUUCUCAAGAACUUCAGCUCCUCUGAUGCCGGGACUCAUUACUGUGCUGUGGCCACGUGUGGAGAGAUAUUAUUCGGAGACAUAACAAAACUGAAAAUAGAGAGAAAUGCAAGCUCUGAAGUGAUUGCGCUGGUGAUAGCAAUAGCCUGCUUGGUCGUUUCUAUGGUUGGAAACAUUAUUUUCUUCUGCCGCCGGACUUCAAGAGCAGAUUGUUCACAAUGUAAAG